rnacentral:piRNA from 1 species
UACUGCUAGGAUACAAGGUGGCCGCAC